GCGCCAGUAGCUCAGUUGGAUAGAGCAACGGCCUUCUAAGCCGUCGGUCGGGGGUUCGAAUCCCUCCUGGCGUACCA
rnacentral:tRNA from 1 species